rnacentral:rRNA from 1 species
UACAGAGGGUGCGAGCGUUGUUCGGAAUUACUGGGCGUAAAGCGUGCGUAGACGGUUAUUUAAGUCGGGUGUGAAAGCCCCGGGCUCAACCUGGGAAUUGCAUUCGAGACUGAAUAGCUAGGGUACGGUAGAGGGAAGUGGAAUUUCCGGUGUAGCGGUGAAAUGCGUAGAUAUCGGAAGGAACAUCAGUGGCGAAAGCGACUUCCUGGACCAGUACCGACGUUCAGGCACGAAAGCGUGGGGAGCAAACAGG